UAGGGAAUCUUCGGCAAUGGACGAAAGUCUGACCGAGCAACGCCGCGUGAGUGAAGAAGGUUUUCGGAUCGUAAAACUCUGUUGUUAGAGAAGAACAAGGACGUUAGUAACUGAACGUCCCCUGACGGUAUCUAACCAGAAAGCCACGGCUAACUACGUGCCAGCAGCCGCGGUAAUACGUAGGUGGCAAGCGUUGUCCGGAUUUAUUGGGCGUAAAGCGUGCGCAGGCGGUUUCUUAAGUCUGAUGUGAAAGCCCCCGGCUCAACCGGGGAGGGUCAUUGGAAACUGGGAGACUUGAGUGCAGAAGAGGAGAGUGGAAUUCCAUGUGUAGCGGUGAAAUCCGUAGAUAGAUGGAGGAACACCAGUGGCGAAGGCGGCUCUCUGGUCUGUAACUGACGCUGAGGCUCGAAAGCGUGGGGAGCAAACAGG
rnacentral:rRNA from 1 species